AACGAACGCUGGCGGCAGGCCUAACACAUGCAAGUCGAGCGAGGACUUCGGUUCUAGCGGCGGACGGGUGAGUAACGCGUGGGAAUGUGCCCUUCUCUACGGAAUAGCCCUGGGAAACUGGGAGUAAUACCGUAUACGCCCUAUUGGGGAAAGAUUUAUCGGGGAAGGAUCAGCCCGCGUUGGAUUAGGUUGUUGGUGGGGUAAUGGCCUACCAAGCCGACGAUCCAUAGCUGGUUUGAGAGGAUGAUCAUCCACACUGGGACUGAGACACGGCCCAGACUACUACGGGAGGAAGCAGUGGGGAAUCUUAGAAAAUGGGGGCAAACCUGAUCAAGCCAUGCCGCGUGAGUGAUGAAGGCCUUAGGGUUGUAAAGCUCUUUCAGCUGGGAAGAUAAUGACGGUACCAGCAGAAGAAGCCCCGGCUAACUCCGUG
rnacentral:rRNA from 1 species